UUAAAGCAAUAAAUGACAAACUUCAAUACAUGACAAAAUCUGUGAAAAAGACCCUUUAAGCUAUAUUGUUUAUAUUAUUCCUUUGUUUGUUAGCGGAAGACCUCAUAGUGCAUUGUUUUGUGCUCAACCAUCAUGGCGAGUUACGAAAAGACAACUGUAGCAAAUCCUAUUCGUCCGUUUGCGUAAACGCAACUGUUCACGACACUAUACAGUACAGCGGGCAAGAUUCGAAGGUGCCAAACUACGAUCCGACGUCAUCGAGCACACCCGUUGACUUAACCACUAGAGCAGCAAACAAAUCGUCCGAUUUGAACAAUGUAACCAUCGACCCUACAACCGAAGAAGAUGCGAAGACCUCGUCUAUUGUUACAUGGGUUUCAACAACACUUGGCUCAUGUUUGGUUAUACUGGUCGUUAUCAUCGCUUGUUUGUGCUUCAAGAGGAAACGAGGUAA